rnacentral:rRNA from 2 species
GGAUGCGAUCAUACCAGCACUAAAGCACCGGAUCCCAUCAGAACUCCGAAGUUAAGCGUGCUUGGGCGAGAGUGGUACUAGGAUGGGUGACCUCCUGGGAAGUCCUCGUGUUGCAUUCC